UGCAGGAUGAUUCACCUUAUUCCUACUUGCUAAUUAUGGCUGAACUUCCUCCCCUGAAAUGUGGAAGUGCUUUGGAACUUUUAAAUUUAUUCCCUGAUUCUGAUUUCCUGAGGCUGAAUGCAAUACAGAGGAAGAUUAUUGGGCUACAGCAAGCAGUAGUCUGCCUUAAACUGAAGUGCAAAUAUUUUAAAGCAGCCACCUUUACUCUCCUGUUUACUCCACUCCCAGAGCAAUUUGGAAUAAGGGCAUUUGUUUGACACUGACUUUACCUCCUGACUGAGUUACAGACCAGCUGCUUAAGUACAUUGCUCUAAUCAGGUGAAGAAGAAACCUUUCAAUGAUCCUUUGAGGUGCAGGGAGCCUGGAUGCUCUGGCAUAAUGGGGCUUCUGAGGAUCCUAGAAGUCCCCAGCCUUCGGAAAGUCCACCUGGAAAGACUGUCUGCAUCCUAGACCUGUGGUAAGAAGCAAAGAGGCAGAAGCCCAACAGGCAAACUUUUGUCAAGUUCACUGGGGGAAACUGAAAUUGACAACAUCAUUCCAGGUUGGAAGUGCAUAACCUCUCUAACAAUUUUGAUCAACCAGUCAAUAUGUGACUUUAAGUGAAUACUUCAUAGAGAAAUUGAAAUAGAAAAAAGGACUAAAUUUUUCAGAUAUUGUUUGCUUCAAAUUGCGCCACCCCGUUCUAA